GCUAGAGUGGUGGAAUUGGCAUACACGGCGGACUUAAAAUCCGCUACCUUUAAUGGUAUGUGGGUUCAAAUCCCACCUUUAGCA
rnacentral:tRNA from 1 species